rnacentral:tRNA from 1 species
GGAAGAAUUGCCCGGCGGUAAGGGCACUUGUCUGCAACACUGGAGACCAGGGUUCAAGUCUCGGCUCUCUCA